rnacentral:rRNA from 1 species
AUUCUGUAGCAAGGUUAACCGUAUAGGGGAGCCGGAGGGAAACCGAGUCUUAAUUGGGCGUUAAGUUGCAGGGUAUAGACCCGAAACCCGGUGAUCUAGCCAUGGGCAGGUUGAAGGUUGGGUAACACUAACUGGAGGACCGAACCGACUAAUGUUGAAAAAUUAGCGGAUGACCUGUGGCUGGGGGUGAAAGGCCAAUCAAACCGGGAGAUAGCUGGUUCUCCCCGAAAGCUAUUUAGGUAGCGCCUCGUGAAUUCAUCUCCGGGGGUAGAGCACUGUUUCGGCUAGGGGGCCAUCCCGGCUUACCAACCCGAUGCAAACUGCGAAUACCGGAGAAUGUUAUCACGGGAGACACACGGCGGGUGCUAACGUCCGUCGUGAAGAGGGAAACAACCCAGACCGCCAGCUAAGGUCCCAAAGUCAUGGUUAAGUGGGAAACGAUGUGGGAAGGCCCAGACAGCCAGGAUGUUGGCUUAGAAGCAGCCAUCAUUUAAAGAAAGCGUAAUAGCUCACUGGUCGAGUCGGCCUGCGCGGAAGAUGUAACGGGGCUAAACCAUGCACCGAAGCUGCGGCAGCGAACGUAUCACCCAAGACAACUUUACGGAGUUGACGAUUGACGGAGCGAAGCGACGUCAAAGCGUUCAUUAAAGUCGAGUUGGCUUAGGGAUACGUUCGUUGGGUAGGGGAGCGUUCUGUAAGCCUGUGAAGGUGUGUCGUGAGGCAUGCUGGAGGUAUCAGAAGUGCGAAUGCUGACAUAAGUAACGAUAAAGCGGGUGAAAAGCCCGCUCGCCGGAAGACCAAGGGUUCCUGUCCAACGUUAAUCGGGGCAGGGUGAGUCGACCCCUAAGGCGAGGCCGAAAGGCGUAGUCGAUGGGAAACGGGUUAAUAUUCCCGUACUUGGUGUUACUGCGAAGGGGGGACGGAGAAGGCUAUGUUGGCCGGGCGACGGUUGUCCCGGUUUAAGCGUGUAGGUGUGUGUUCCAGGUAAAUCCGGUUC